rnacentral:misc_RNA from 1 species
AAGUCGUAACAAGGUUUCCGUAGGUGAACCUGCGGAAGGAUCAUUAACACGUAUCCAACGUUAAACCCCCCGUGAACCUUCAGUGCGCUCGCACUUUCUUAGAAAAGGUAGCAAUCCCUGGUAAAUCAUUGCCGAACAGUUUUGAUUCAGGGACUUCUGCGUAGACUGUGCUUGAGCGUGAGGCAAGUGGCCUGGCAUUCCUCUGCUUGUUGGUGUCUGAAAGUGUCACCAGCUCUGUACGAAUGGCGCAGUCACGAUCGCUAGAGGCCGACACGGCCGGCGACCGGGUCACUGGGCGCGAGCCCCCGUCAAAUUGUGCGGCCACCAAACUCGAACAACUGUUAACAAUGGAUAUCUUGGUUCUC